rnacentral:rRNA from 1 species
CACACCGCCCGUCACACCACGGGAGUCGGUUAUUCCAGAAGCAGUUGCGCUAACCCGCAAGGGGGGCAGGCUGCCAAGGACUGGCUGGUGACUGGGGUG